GGACCACAAACUUGAAGCAGAGUAGAUCAGUAGGAUCAGCUGACCAUACCCAACUAUUCUACUUCAAGUUUGUGCCU
rnacentral:pre_miRNA from 1 species